UACGAAGGGGGCUAGCGUUGCUCGGAAUUACUGGGCGUAAAGGGCGCGUAGGCGGAUGUCUAAGUUGGGGGUGAAAGCCCGGGGCUCAACCUCGGAAUAGCCUUCAAUACUGGAUAUCUUGAGUUCGGGAGAGGUGAGUGGAAUGCCGAGUGUAGAGGUGAAAUUCGUAGAUAUUCGGCGGAACACCAGUGGCGAAGGCGACUCACUAGCCCGAUACUGACGCGGAGGCGCGAAAGCGUGGGGAGCAAACAGG
rnacentral:rRNA from 1 species